rnacentral:rRNA from 1 species
UACGGGGGGAGCAAGCGUUGUUCGGAUUUACUGGGCGUAAAGGGCGCGUAGGCGGCCUGUGCAAGUCAGUUGUGAAAUCUCCGGGCUUAACUCGGAACGGUCAACUGAUACUGCUCGGCUAGAGUGCGGAAGGGGCAACUGGAAUUCUUGGUGUAGCGGUGAAAUGCGUAGAUAUCAAGAGGAGCACCUGCGGCGAAGGCGGGUUGCUGGGCCGACACUGACGCUGAUGCGCGAAAGCUAGGGGAGCGAACGGG